rnacentral:rRNA from 1 species
AUUGAACGCUGGCGGCAGGCCUAACACAUGCAAGUCGAGCGGAUGAAGGGAGCUUGCUCCUGGAUUCAGCGGCGGACGGGUGAGUAAUGCCUAGGAAUCUGCCUGGUAGUGGGGGAUAACGUCCGGAAACGGGCGCUAAUACCGCAUACGUCCUGAGGGAGAAAGUGGGGGAUCUUCGGACCUCACGCUAUCAGAUGAGCCUAGGUCGGAUUAGCUAGUUGGUGGGGUAAAGGCCUACCAAGGCGACGAUCCGUAACUGGUCUGAGAGGAUGAUCAGUCACACUGGAACUGAGACGCGGUCCAGACUCCUACGGGAGGCAGCAGUGGGGAAUAUUGGACAAUGGGCGAAAGCCUGAUCCAGCCAUGCCGCGUGUGUGAAGAAGGUCUUCGGAUUGUAAAGCACUUUAAGUUGGGAGGAAGGGCAGUAAGUUAAUACCUUGCUGUUUUGACGUUACCAAAAGAAUAAGCACCGGCUAACUUCGUG